GGCGCCACGUACUAUGGACCUAUGCCCACAUUCCUGUUUACUUGUCGCAUCUCCAGCGCAUGGAUAAGAGCUAUAUUCAAUUUUCAUCGUUUAUAAUUCACAUUUUAUGUUUAAUCCGGCCUGUACGACUGGCUCUUUUUAGACAUGCUAUUUUAUAAAACUAAGUUCAUUUACUCUGGUAUGAUCAAGUAUGAUUGAUAUUCCUAAAUCAAGUAAUACAUAAUUCAGGGUGAUACCGUUUGCAAUUGGAGCCUAUGCGCUUUUAUGGUGUCGCAUUCGCCGGACUAGCCGAAUGGAUUUAUGACGUCACGACUGGAUUAAAGUUGAUUUUCUGAACAACUUUCAUCAUGGGCUCCCUUCAACCUGUCGAUAUCGUCAUUAUAGUUCUUCACUUCUGCGUUGUAUUUGGAAUUGGUAUUUGGGUAAGUGGACUUAAAUAUACUAUAUUAUUGUAUUAAUAUUUUAUUGGAAAAACACCUUUGUGAUAUAUAAAAAUGAUAGCAUGCUUUAAAAAAAAAACGUGCAGUGAUACAUGGUCACUGUUGGGAUUCGAGCCCAGGCAUUCAAAUAGAG